GCCCAUUUGAGGGGGAUACCAGUUGGAAACGACUGUUAAUACCGCAUACUAUCUGAGGAUUAAAGGUGGCCUUUGUGCUGCCGCAGAUGGAUGAGCCUGCGUUAGAUUAGCUUGUUGGUGGGGUAAAGGCCUACCAAGGCUACGAUCUAUAGCUGAUUUGAGAGGAUGAUCAGCCACAUUGGGACUGAGACACGGCCCAAACUCCUACGGGAGGCAGCAGUGGGGAAUAUUGGACAAUGGAGGAAACUCUGAUCCAGCAAUGCCAUGUGUGUGAAGAAGGCUCUAGGGUUGUAAAGCACUUUAGUUGGGGAGGAAAGCUUAUGAGUUAAUAGCUCAUGAGAAGGACGUUACCCAAAGAAUAAGGACCGGCUAACUCCGUGCCAGCAGCCGCGGUAAUACGGGGGGUCCGAGCGUUAAUCGGAAUUACUGGGCGUAAAGGGUCUGUAGGUGGUUUGUUAAGUCAGAUGUGAAAGCCCAGGGCUCAACCUUGGAACUGCAUUUGAUACUGGCAAACUAGAGUAUGGUAGAGGAAUGGGGAAUUUCUGGUGUAGCGGUGAAAUGCGUAGAGAUCAGAAGGAACACCAAUGGCGAAGGCAACAUUCUGGACCAAUACUGACACUGAGGGACGAAAGCGUGGGGAUCAAACAGGAUUAGAUACCCUGGUAGUCCACGCUGUAAACGAUGAGUACUAGCUGUUGGAUUCGGUGUAAAGGAUCUAGUGGCGUAGCUAACGCGUUAAGUACUCCGCCUGGGGACUACGGCCGCAAGGCUAAAACUCAAAGGAAUUGACGGGGACCCGCACAAGCGGUGGAGCAUGUGGUUUAAUUCGAUGCAACGCGAAGAACCUUACCUGGUCUUGACAUCCUGCGAACUUUCUAGAGAUAGAUUGGUGCCUUCGGGAACGCAGUGACAGGUGCUGCACGGCUGUCGUCAGCUCGUGUUGUGAAAUGUUGGGUUAAGUCCCGCAACGAGCGCAACCCCUAUUGAUAGUUACCAUCAUUAAGUUGGGUACU
rnacentral:rRNA from 1 species